GGUCGGGUAGCUCAGUCGGUAGAGCAUCGGAAUGGUAUUCCGAAGUCCCGGGUUCAAGUCCCGGUCUGGCUG
rnacentral:tRNA from 1 species